rnacentral:rRNA from 1 species
CGAGUCCGAGUCUCCACGGAGACGAAGUGGCGGUCAUCCAGCUUCCUAGAAAAGCUCUAACCACGUUAAUCUUUAGUUGCCUGUACCCGAAACCGACACAGGUAGGGGGGUAGAGAAUACCAAGGGGCGCGAGAUAACUCUCUCUAAGGAACUCGGCAAAAUGACCCCGUAACUUCGGGAGAAGGGGUACCACUGAGAAGUGGUCGCAGUGAAGAGGCCCAGGCGACUGUUUACCAAAAACACAGGUCUCCGCCAAGUCGCAAGACGAAGUAUGGGGGCUGACGCCUGCCCAGUGCCGGAAGGUUAAGGAAGUGGGUUAGGGAUUCGUCCCGAAGCUGACGACUGAAGCCCCGGUGAACGGCGGCCGUAACUAUAACGGUCCUAAGGUAGCGAAAUUCCUUGUCGGGUAAGUUCCGACCCGCACGAAAGGCGUAACGAUCUGGGCGCUGUCUCGGAGAGAGGCUCAGCGAAAUAGGAAUGUCUGUGAAGAUACGGACUACCUGCACCUGGACAGAAAGACCCUAUGAAGCUUUACUGUAGCUUGGAAUUGGGUUCGGGCUUGUUUUGCGCAGGAUAGGUGGGAGGCGAAGAAGAUUUGCUUGUGGGUGAAUCUGAGCCAACGGUGAGAUACCACUCUAACCAGGCUAGAAUUCUAACUUCAACCCGUCAACCGGGGGAAGGACAGUUUCAGGUGGGCAGUUUGACUGGGGCGGUCGCCCCCUAAAAGAUAACGGAGGCGCACAAAGGUUCCCUCAGGCUGGUUGGAAAUCAGCCAACGAGUGCAAAGGCAGAAGGGAGCUUGACUGCGAGACCUACAAGUCAAGCAGGGUGGAAACACGGUCUUAGUGAUCCGACGGCACCGAGUGGAAGGGCCGUCGCUCAACGGAUAAAAGUUACUCUAGGAUAACAGGCUGAUCUCCCCCAAGAGUUCACAUCGACGGGGAGGUUUGGCACCUCGAUGUCGGCUCAUCGCAACCUGGGGCGGAAGUACGUCCCAAGGGUUGGGCUGUUCGCCCAUUAAAGCGGUACGUGAGCUGGGUUCAGAACGUCGUGAGACAGUUCGGUCCAUAUCCGGUGUAGGCGCAAGAACAUUGAGAGGAGUCUUCCUUAGUACGAGAGGACCGGGAAGAACGCACCGCUGGUGUACCUGUUAUCGUGCCAACGGUAAACGCAGGGUAGCCAAGUGCGGAGUGGAUAACCGCUGAAAGCAUCUAAGUGGGAAGCCCACCUCAAGAUGAGUGUUCUCAUGGAGUAAUCCAGUAAGGUCACGGGAAGACGACCCGUUGAUAGGCGGUAGGUGGAAGUUCAGCAAUGGAUGAAGCCGAGCCGUACUAACAGACCGAGGGCUUGAU